GCAAGUCGAACGUGAAGCUCUAGCUUGCUAGAGUGGAAAGUGGCGCAAGGGUGAGUAACACGUGAGCAAUCUACCCCCGACUACGGGAUAGCCCCGGGAAACUGGGAUUAAUACCGUAUGUGGUUCUACCGCUUCAUGGCGGUUUUACUAAAGAUUGAGUUCGGUCAGGGAUGAGCUCGCGGCCCAUUAGCUUGUUGGUGAGGUAACGGCUCACCAAGGCUACGACGGAUAGGGGAGCUGAGAGGCUGACC
rnacentral:rRNA from 1 species